GAUGAACGCUAGCGGCAGGCCUAAUACAUGCAAGUCGAACGAGAUUAAGAGGCUUGCUUCUUAUGAAAGUGGCGCACGGGUGCGUAACGCGUAUGCAACCUACCUUAAUCAGGGGGAUAGCCCGAAGAAAUUCGGAUUAAGACCGCAUAAAAACACAGGAUAGCAUUAUCCGAUGUUCAAAUAUUUAUAGGAUUAAGAUGGGCAUGCGUGUCAUUAGCUAGUUGGCGGGGUAACGGCCCACCAAGGCGACGAUGACUAGGGGAUCUGAGAGGAUGACCCCCCACACUGGUACUGAGACACGGACCAGACUCCUACGGGAGGCAGCAGUAAGGAAUAUUGGUCAAUGGAGGGAACUCUGAACCAGCCAUGCCGCGUGCAGGAAGACAGCCCUCUGGGUCGUAAACUGCUUUUAUUCGGGAAUAAACCUUUCUACGUGUAGGAAGCUGAAUGUACCGAAGGAAUAAGGAUCGGCUAACUCCGUG
rnacentral:rRNA from 1 species